GUCCACGCCCUAAACGAUGUCUACUAGUUGUCGGGUUUUAAUUAACUUGGUAACGCAGCUAACGCGUGAAGUAGACCGCCUGGGGAGUACGGUCGCAAGAUUAAAACUCAAAGGAAUUGACGGGACCCGCACAAGCGGUGGAUGAUGUGGAUUAAUUCGAUGCAACGCGAAAAACCUUACCUACCCUUGACAUGUCUGGAAUCCCGAAGAGAUUUUGGGAGUGCUCGGAAGAGAACCGGAACACAGGUGCUGCAUGGCUGUCGU
rnacentral:rRNA from 1 species